rnacentral:rRNA from 1 species
UACGAAGGGGGCUAGCGUUGCUCGGAAUUACUGGGCGUAAAGCGCACGUAGGCGGACUCUUAAGUCGGUGGUGAAAUCCUGGAGCUCAACUCCAGAACUGCCUUCGAUACUGAGAGUCUCGAGUCCGGGAGAGGUGAGUGGAACUGCGAGUGUAGAGGUGAAAUUCGUAGAUAUUCGCAAGAACACCCAGUGGCGAAGGCGGCUCACUGGCCCGGUACUGACGCUGAGGUGCGAAAGCGUGGGGAGCAA